GACGAACGCUGGCGGCGUGGAUUAGGCAUGCAAGUCGAACGGUAUCAUCCUUUCGGGGGUGAGAGAGUGGCGAACUGGUGAGUAACACGUAGGUUAUCUACCCUCAAGACGGGGACAACCCAGGGAAACUUGGGCUAAUACCGGAUGUGAGCAACUUUUAGUUGUUUGAAAGGUGGCGUAAGCUGUCGCUUGGGGAUGAGCCUGCGUCCUAUUAGUUAGUUGGUGAGGUAACGGCUCACCUAGGCAAUGAUAGGUAGGCGGCCUUAACGGGUGGUCGCCCACACUGGGAUUGAGAUACGGCCCAGACUCCUACGGGAGGCAGCAGUCGAGAAUAGUCUACAAUGGUCGGAAGACUGAUAGUGCGACGCCGCGUGAACGAUGAAUCCCUUCGGGGUGUAAAGUUCUUUUAUAUGUGAGCAGUGCUUCUUAUAUUUAACAGUAUGGGGAGAGAGAUAUUAGCAUAUGAAUAAGCAACGGCUAACUCCGUGCCAGCAGCCGCGGUAA
rnacentral:rRNA from 1 species